UCCCCAAUUCAUGAUCGACCUCCCAACUAUGUGCCAGUAUUUGAUGGUAGAUCAUUAAAGCUGGACUGCCAAAUGAGUUUCGGUUCGAUUACAGUGUCUACAAUCAGCAUCAUGGAACACAGUCGACUGUCAGUCAGCGUCAGUCAGCAAGCCGACUAAUUAUUGGUAAAUUUUGACUGUCUACCCAGACAACAACUUACCUCAAUGAUUCGGUCG
rnacentral:lncRNA from 1 species